rnacentral:lncRNA from 1 species
AAUCACCUCCUAAAGGACCUACUGCCAAUACUCACCCUGGGGGUUAGCUUUUUAACUUUUGAAUUUGGGAGGACACAAAGAUUCAGACUAUGGUAAUAGGUAAAAGUGCUUUGCAAAUUAUAGAUCAUUCUACAAAUGCAAUCCAUUAUAUUUGCAUUUGUAUACUGUGCUUUUAAAACCACAAGUCCCCCUGACUUCAGGGCGUAUGAAUUCCACUGCCUUCCUUUGUUCUAAUGCGCAUGGCAGUGAAGGCAACUCUCCUAGAGGGUGGGUUGGAUCAGACAGGGUUGCACCUGAGUGGAUUUUCACAAGAAUGGGUGAGUGGAGAGGGUUCACUUAGCCCCACAAGAAGUAAGGUUCUGUGUGGUCGCGUGUCUGUGGUGAUGGGGGUGGGAAUGUUGCCCUGGGGCAAGAUUCCUGCCUGGGGAGCAAACUGUGGCUUCCAUGGAAAAAUGUAUUUUAUGUUCUAAAAUAUCCCCAGUAACUAGAACACAGCCUGAAGAUCUCGUGCCCUACACAAACACUUGCUGGAACCUGGAGCCACCUAGAACCACGUUCCUUCCACCACCACCACAUGAAGGUGUGGAGCGCUGUUGUAGAGAGACUGGUGGCUCAACGUGCAGCGAGCAUGCCAAGGAACCCCAGACCGUGGAAAUGGCUCUGACUGCACCUGCACUGACCCAGAAGGGCGCUCUCCUGACAACCCAUAGAAAUGGUGGUUGUGGAAUGAAAGCAGAUUGUGUGCGAUUAUCAACCACAGAGCCAUGACUGUGUUUCUAAUAUAACAAAGUGAGAACAUGAGAUUUUCCAUAUACCAUCUGUGCUGUUAAGUUAGCAGUUUGGGGGGCCCUUAUGUUAUGUUAAUGCUCUUUUCUUCUGUGAAUAUAUAUUAACAAAUGCACGUGUGUUUGUGUGCAUAUAUGUGUAUGUGUGUGCAUAUAUAUACGUGUAUCAGUGCACCUGGGCACACACACAAACAUAUUCACUUUACUCAGCUUCACCACCUUCCACUUUCCUCUUAUAAAACCUUUCAGUCACUUGUUAUGGAGAAUAAGUGUUUUCAUCAUAUAGACGCCCUGUAGUUGAUAUACAUGUAAUGAGAACCAUUCAAUUCUUUCAGAGAUGGUUUAGUUUAUAAAAUGCUAGGGGUGGGGCCACCCCAAAACAUCUCAAUGUUUCCAAAAGACCAUAAAGUUCAGGCAGCAGAACAGGUGGUCAGGAGUCCUCUGUUCCUGGUCCCACAGCAGGCGCUUCCAUUCUGCAUGACUCUGCUUUCCAAAGCAAGAUACCGUGUCAGGUGCCACCACAGCCAGCUCCCCGACCUCCCCGGAGUUCAGUAGGCCCUAUUAUCCCUUACUUCUUCCCUCAAUCCCCGUUUUGCCUCUUCUCUGGGAAAGCCUCCUACAUGGCAUGCAGCCCAGCACAGCUAGGCCAUGAAGAUGGUGCAGACCAGCCCCGCGCGUUUCGGGGCGUCAGGCAGACAUGCUAGGGCGGCCGUGCUGGGCAGAGAGAGAACCCCCCCUCAAUGCCACCCGGCCACUUGGCCCAGCUGUGGAGCCCUGGCAAAAGAAGCUGGGUGUUGACUUGCUAGGAUUUCUCUCUGAGACAGUGGUGUCUCGGCUUCUGCGUGUCCCUGAGCCCACCUCCCCUGCACUCCCG